rnacentral:tRNA from 1 species
AGGAACGUAUUACAAGCGGUAGUAUGACAGCUUUCUGAUGGGGCUGUUGAUCUAGGUUCGAGUCCUAGCGUUCCUA